rnacentral:rRNA from 1 species
GCUGGCGGCAUGCUUAACACAUGCAAGUCGAACGUGAAAGCACUUCGGUGUGAGUAGAGUGGCGGACGGGUGAGUAACGCGUGGGAAUCUACCCAGUAGUGGGGGACAACUACCGGAAACGGUAGCUAAUACCGCAUACGCCCUAUGGGGGAAAGGCUUCGGCCGCUAUUGGAUGAGCCCGCGUCAGAUUAGCUAGUUGGUAGGG